AACGCAAAUUGCACUCCCUGGUAUUCCGGGGAGUAUGCCUGUUUGAGGGUCAGUUUAAUAAAAAUCGAUGUGUUGCUUUUUUGUAUCACCUCGGAAUUGGGUUUUCUUAGCCUUCGGGUUUUAAGAGACUUAAAAUUGAAUUUUUUGUGCAUUUUUAUAGACGUACAUAAGAUAUUUUUUUAUUCGUCUUGGAGUGCCAAAUUUAUUAGGUAUGAUCAUGUUGUGUGGUUUCGUACCUAUAAGCUUUAUCAUCUGACCUCAAAUCAGGUAGGGACACCCGCUGAACUUAA
rnacentral:misc_RNA from 1 species